rnacentral:tRNA from 1 species
ACUUAUGUGGCAGAAGAGUGCGUUGAAUUUAAGCUUCAAAUAUGGGUUUACCCUUAAGUA